UCCCUCGAUACAAAGGAAUUGAUCCGCUUCAAGCUCAAGGCCGAAGUCAAGACUGCCUUUCUACAUCAGCCCUGAAAAAAGGUAGGUAGCUUAUCCUCACUCGAUCGACUCAGGCUAUGGUUUGAUUCCUGUCAUAUGUACCCGCUAAGGCAACCCCGUCACAGCUCGCAUUGUUUUUUCAGUUGAGGAUUUCCCUUUGUAAUAAGUCAAAACCUAAGUUUUGUUUUUAGCUCUAUGGAUCCACACUUGAUCGGUUCAAAAAUUGCACUAAGUUUUGAAUUUUCUUUUUUUUUAUUCUAUUUAAGUUAUCAUUUACUUCUUUUAUGCUAGCAAAAUUGUAUUU
rnacentral:lncRNA from 1 species